AAUUGCUGUACUUCUGAUGGAAGAGUUACAUCGUUGUACAGAGCGAAGAGCCAAGAGAGAGCGACCUCGUGUCCCUCUGUUACUAUAUAGAAGUGCCAUAAUGACAUCAGACCAUAACUUUAGCCAUAUAAGGACAAGACCCCCAAAUCCACAUUCCAGAGCUCUCUGACAAAGAAAGCCUUGUGACUUAGACCAUAUGUUA